CGAUGGGGCUCCUGUGUAAAGCGAAAGUAACUCGAGUGGUCCAGUCACGAAAUGAUCGUGGUAUGCAGCAAGACACCCCUAUAUUUAUGUGCAAAACAAAAUUAGAGUCGUAGGUAAGUCGAAAGGCACGCAGUCUGUAAAAAGAAAGAAAAGCAAAGAAUAURAGUUGAUAAAAAACUGUCAAGGAGAAUUUUUCUUCAUCUCAAUAAAUG